rnacentral:rRNA from 1 species
UACAGAGGGUGCAAGCGUUAAUCGGAAUUACUGGGCGUAAAGCGUGCGUAGACGGUUCCGUAAGUCGGGUGUGAAAGCCCCGGGCUCAACCUGGGAAUUGCAUUCGAGACUGCGAAGCUAGGGUGCGGAAGAGGGAAGCGGAAUUUCUGGUGUAGCGGUGAAAUGCGUAGAUAUCAGAAGGAACAUCAGUGGCGAAAGCGGCUUCCUGGUCCAGCGCCGACGUUCAAGCACGAAAGCGUGGGGAGCAAACAGG